UCUGGGUGCAACAAGCCUUUGCUCUGUACCUGCCCUCUGUGAGGGGGGCGGGGUCAAGAAGCCAGCUGCCUGAAUCUGAACAGACCGUGACCCAGAGACGAAGAAAAAGAUUAAUGACACUGUAUCGGAAUUAUGUCCAAAAGACUGAAGCCAUCCGGCGCCCAAGGAAGGAAAAGAAGGAAAGAAGAGGAAGAGAAACGUGAAAAAGAUAGAGAUGCACUUUUAAAAUAUUUCAGUACCACCCCAGUGACACAGCAUCAGGUGCUGCUGUCCCGUCUACCUCUGCACAGCCCAGUGACACAGCAUCAGGUGCUCCUGUCCUUUUUAAUUUUAUCACUUGUUUCUUUCUUUAGUUUUUAUUUGGUGUGAUAUUUUUUACUCAAAGAAAUAAAAUCUUGAAUACA